rnacentral:lncRNA from 1 species
UCCCAAAUAACAAAUUUAUAAUAACCAUAUGAAAUAUGUUAUUCCUAAACUUAUUUAAAAUGCAUUUCAAGAUCAUCACAACUAAAUUGUUUAUCCUAACAUUUACGAAAAAUCAUUUCUCAAAAAUUUGAAAGGAUAGAAUUUCAUAAAUAAAUAAUAAGAGAAGUUAAGAAAGUAGAACCCGAUAUAUGUCAUUUCCUUCGUGAUCCAUUGUUAUCUCACUUUUGCCAUAUGAAUUGCUG